AACAUUUUACCAAUAUUCUGAAGCAUCUUGCUAAGCGAUUCAAUACGGAUCUGACAUCAAGAAAGGCAUCCAUAAAGUUCAUGAUCCAGGAAGAGCUGACUAAGCUAGCUGACAAGGCUGAGGAAGAGGAUGAAGAGGAACCAGAGAAGACUGGAAAACAAGCAUCCGGGCAAAGGGUCAAGGCUUGGCGGUCUUGCUUUGAUUCGAAAAAAAGAACCAUUUCUUAUGUAGUUUUUGUUUUCUGUUGUUGGUUCUUGUACAAGCAUGUAACUUAAUGUUAGUUAUUUCGUUAAGGUGCCCACUGUA